rnacentral:rRNA from 1 species
AUUGAACGCUGGCGGCAGGCUUAACACAUGCAAGUCGAGCGAGCGGCGGACGGGUGAGUAAUGUCUGGGAAACUGCCUGAUGGAGGGGGAUAACUACUGGAACCGGUAGCUAAUACCGCAUACCAUCAGAUGUGCCCAGAUGGGAUUAGCUGGUGGGUGGGGUAAUGGCUCACCAAGGCGACGAUCCCUAGCUGGUCUGAGAGGAUGACCAGCCACACUGGAACUGAGACACGGUCAAGACUCCUACGGGAGGCAGCAGUGGGGAAUAUUGCACAAUGGGGGAAAGCCUGAUGCAGCAAGGCGGCGUGUGUGAAGAAGGCCUUCGGGUUGUAAAGCACUUUCAGCGAGGAGGCGUUACUUACAGAAGAAGCACCGGCUAACUCCGUGCCAGCAGCCGCGGUAAUAC